rnacentral:snRNA from 1 species
AUACUUACCUGGACGGGAUCAACGGGCGAACAAGAAGGCCUGUGGUCUAGGUCAGUGGUCCGCAUUGCACGUGGCGGGUGCGCUGGCCUACCAUCUCCCCAAGUGGGAGAGUGGACGUCAUAAUUUGUGGCAGAGGGGUACGCGUCCGCGCGGCCCUGC